rnacentral:sRNA from 1 species
AGGUCGACUUUGUGGGCCGAGCCAGUCUGACUGGGAGCCAUGGAGCGGGUGGGGAAAGCGUGUUGGAGAGAGGCUGGAGGCUUCUCACCCCAGCGACUCCUCAACGUCUGUGCCCCACAGUGAAGCACCCGCCAGCAGAGCCCUCCCGCUUCAUCUCGGCUCCCACCAAGACACCGGACAAGAUGGGCUUCGACGAGGUCUUCAUGAUCAACCUGAGGCGGCGGCAGGACCGGCGGGAGCGCAUGCUGCGGGCGCUGCAGGCACAGGAGAUCGAGUGCCGGCUGGUGGAGGCCGUGGACGGCAAAGCCAUGAACACCAGCCAGGUGGAGGCCCUGGGGAUCCAGAUGCUGCCCGGCUACCGGGACCCCUACCACGGCCGGCCCCUCACCAAGGGUGAGCUGGGCUGCUUCCUGAGCCACUACAACAUCUGGAAGGAGGUGGUGGACCAGGGGCUGCAGAAAUCGCUUGUGUUUGAGGAUGACCUGCGUUUUGAGAUCUUCUUCAAGAGACGCCUGAUGAACCUCAUGCGGGACGUGGAGCAGGAAGGCCUGGACUGGGACCUCAUCUACGUGGGCCGGAAGCGGAUGCAGGUGGAGCACCCCGAGAAGGCUGUGCCCCGCGUGAGGAACCUGGUGGAGGCCGACUACUCCUACUGGACCCUGGCAUACGUGAUCUCCCUGCAAGGCGCCCGCAAACUGUUGGCUGCUGAGCCGCUCUCCAAGAUGCUGCCUGUGGAC